CGACCGGAGAUCCAGUGAUCUUCUCAGGAAUGCUGAGGUUGCGAUCAUUGAGAUCGAUGACCCGUAUGCUCUCGAGCGAGGGGACAAGAUCGUGGCGUUCCGCUCGUUGCGUGAUGAUCCACUGGCGCGGAUGCACGUUGCCAAGCAGAUCGAUGAUGCCCAGCUCGAGGGCGGGAGGGCAUGGCAGGCGGACUAUGAGUCGGUAGAAAUCGGGGGCGCGAGCGCGAUCGAUCCGACGAAAGAGGCUGUUGAUGGCGGCAA
rnacentral:misc_RNA from 1 species